UGGAGUGGGUUAAUUUCCCAGUAUUUAUCUGAACCUUUUAUGCAACCAGUGCCAGGAAUACUCAUGUAGCUCUGAUAAAGCUGCAUUGUUGUUGCAUAAUUCAACACACAAAAUUCAUGUCGUCAUUUGGUCUUUAUAAUACUUAUCUUACUGAAGGAUUUUUGGACUACUAUUGAACAGCAGGAGUACAGCAUAUUGCACUCAAUACAUCCGACAUCGUCUCUGCUGUAAAUUACAAUUGCAACCUGAAUCAUUAACUUUACUAAAUGGUGUGUUCCGUAAAAAGAUUGUUAUAAACUUACAGUUAGGUUACUUUUCUCAGAUAAGGAAUUUAAAGGAAAGAGGCAUGGAAUUUCUCGUUAUUCCUGACACAUAAAAGUCUUCGUGCAUGGCUUAAGGAUAUGUACCCAUCAAGGUGGAGAAAGAACUGAAUGUGCUUCAAGAUCUGAAGAUUUUGGUCGAUUUUGAUGACAAGGAUUACCUGCUGCAGAUUUUCACAAAACCAAUGCAGGACAGACCAACACUAUUCUCAGAAGUUGUACAGAGGCACAAUCACCAGGGCUUUGGAGCUGGAACUUCAAGUCGCUUUUUGAAGGCAUUGAGCUGGAUCAAGAGCGGAUAGGGAACCUUUACUAGGCCCACUUAUCAUACCUGGCUAUUUCUUAGCUCUUAAAUCGCAUUAAUCAUACGAAACAAACCUCUGCGUAGAAGAGGUUUGAAGCAGGUAUUUUCGCGAGAGUCAAAUCACAUCAGCUGUAUUUUUCAAAAGAAACAACAUCUUCAUCUUAAGAUAGCCAUCUUAGUGCGGGGAAAGGCUGGAGAUUAAACGUGUGUCGGCUAAAGGAAUAACUGAGUUUGGUUGGGUUUUGGCACACCUCUUUACACCGCUUGCAAACAGAUUAGCUUGUUUAAAAACCGAUUGGGUUUAGGCACACCUCUUUAGACCGCUUGCAAACAGAUUAGCUUGUUUAAAAACCGUAAUCUAAAAACAUUGAACCUAACCGAACGCAAAACCUUUCAAAGUUGUAUGAGGACUCUUCCCUUGUCAGCAGAACCACUAAAAUCAAUUUUCAGUUAAAACAGUUUUGUUUAAUAGAUACAGGCCUGAUUUUUUUUCAGGUCUGAUUUUCGC